GGGGCUGAUUCUGGAUUCGACGGGAUUUGCGAAACCCAAGGUGCAUGCCGAGGGGCGGUUGGCCUCGUAAAAAGCCGCAAAAAAAUAGUCGCAAACGACGAAAACUACGCUUUAGCAGCUUAAUAACCUGCUUAGAGCCCUCUCUCCCUAGCCUCCGCUCUUAGGACGGGGAUCAAGAGAGGUCAAACCCAAAAGAGAUCGCGCGGAUGCCCUGCCUGGGGUUGAGGCGUUAAAACGAAUCAGGCUAGUCUGGUAGUGGCGUGUCCGUCCGCAGGUGCCAGGCGAAUGUAAAGACUGACUAAGCAUGUAGUACCGAGGAUGUAGGAAUUUCGGACGCGGGUUCAACUCCCGCCAGCUCCACCA
rnacentral:tmRNA from 15 species